rnacentral:tRNA from 2 species
ACGAGUAUGCCGAAAUUGGUAGACGGGUGAGUUUUAGGUACUCAUGAUUUUUUUUUUUAAUUGUAAGAGUUCAAGUCUCUUUAUUCGUA